rnacentral:rRNA from 1 species
AUUGAACGCUGGCGGCAGGCCUAACACAUGCAAGUCGAGCGGAUGAAGGGAGCUUGCUCCUGGAUUCAGCGGCGGACGGGUGAGUAAUGCCUAGGAAUCUGCCUGGUAGUGGGGGAUAACGUCCGGAAACGGGCGCUAAUACCGCAUACGUCCUGAGGGAGAAAGUGGGGGAUCUUCGGACCUCACGCUAUCAGAUGAGCCUAGGUCGGAUUAGCUAGUUGGUGGGGUAAAGGCCUACCAAGGCGACGAUCCGUAACUGGUCUGAGAGGAUGAUCAGUCACACUGGAACUGAGACAAGGUCCAGACUCCUACGGGAGGCAGCAGUGGGGAAUAUUGGAAAAUGGGCGAAAGCCUGAACCAGCCAUGCCGCGUGUGUGAAGAAGGUCUUCGGAUUGUAAAGCACUUUAAGUUGGGAGGAAGGGCAGUAAGUUAAUACCUUGCUGUUUUGACGUUACCAACAGAAUAAGCACCGGCUAACUUCGUG